GCCACUGGAAUCUAAAUCAACCUGGAUUUCAGGAACCUCAGGUGACAGUGCACUGUGAGUGAAUUGUUGGGCUCGUGGCCUUUCUCUGUCAGGCUGAGAAGAAAUAGUACAGCCCUGUGGAAAGUUUUUAACGUGACAGUUGUACUUUCUCCCAUUUCUUCAUCUUAUAUUCUCAAAUGUACCUAGAACUCCUGCUGAGCACAGAUGUGUCAACUAUAAGAAAGGAAGUAUGAGUAAUUCUAUACAGCUCUAUGAAAGAUGAACAUUCUCUGAUUUACUUUAACUGAAGGAGUCCUGACCACAACUUUGCACUAAAGGUAAGAUACUAAGAGGCAAAAUCAGCUAGGACACUGAUGCA
rnacentral:lncRNA from 1 species